GCAGCGGGGUGAACCUGGGGUUGGAGAGAGAAGUGAAGUCAUCUCAAGAGGGAGGACAAGGGAGGAAAGAUAGUAAGCUUCAGGAAAAUGGAGAAAGACUGAAACAGUUGUAAAGAACCAAGAGAUAAAGUUGAUUAAUGUGUAGGAGGAUUCCCCAUCUUCACUGAGAACUCAGCCUGUUGCAGCCCAGAACAGAUAGAGUGUCUCACAGAAUGUUUAGUAAACAGCUUGUCAAAGAUACUCAUCUGCAUUUAAAAUAGUUUUACCUCUGGCAUUUUCAUGAAGGAUGGAUUUGAUGAGGAUAAUGUAAGAUGCUAUAUGAGAACUAAGGACCUACCCCAAGGCAGCGAUGUGAACACGGAGAGUGGAGAAGACUUAGUGACGUUAUGGAUGAAGGAAUCCUUCUUUCUCAAAGACUAGAAAACCUGACUAUGCACUUCUCUGACAGAGAAGGUGCAUCUGCAGAAGAUACGUCAAAGGCAGUCUUUGUGCCCCAUCCAGAAUGCUCAAUGGGAAGAACAACGCGAAAAUUGGAAAAAACCUUCUCCAGAGCUUAGGGAGAGAG